UACGUAGGGUGCGAGCGUUAAUCGGAAUUACUGGGCGUAAAGCGUGCGCAGGCGGUGGCUCAAGCCAGGCGUGAAAUCCCCCGGCUUAACCUGGGAACUGCGUCUGAUACUGGAAGGCUUGAGGAUGGGAGAGGGAUGUAGAAUUCCAGGUGUAGCGGAUGAAAUGCGUAGAUAUCUGGAGGAAUACCGGUGGCGAAGGCGGCAUCCUGGACCAUUACUGACGCUGAGGCGCGAAAGCUAGGGGAGCAAACGGG
rnacentral:rRNA from 1 species